rnacentral:piRNA from 1 species
UACCAUGUUGAAUACACCGGUUCUCGUCC